rnacentral:rRNA from 1 species
GACGAACGCUGGCGGCGUGCUUAACACAUGCAAGUCGAACGGAAAGGCCCUGCUUUUGUGGGGUGCUCGAGUGGCGAACGGGUGAGUAACACGUGAGUAACCUGCCCUUGACUUUGGGAUAACUUCAGGAAACUGGGGCUAAUACCGGAUAGGAGCUCCUGCUGCAUGGUGGGGGUUGGAAAGUUUCGGCGGUUGGGGAUGGACUCGCGGCUUAUCAGCUUGUUGGUGGGGUAGUGGCUUACCAAGGCUUUGACGGUAGCCGGCCUGAGAGGGUGACCGGCCACAUUGGGACUGAGAUACGGCCCAGACUCCUACGGGAGGCAGCAGUGGGGAAUAUUGCACAAUGGGCGGAAGCCUGAUGCAGCAACGCCGCGUGCGGGAUGACGGCCUUCGGGUUGUAAACCGCUUUCGCCUGUGACGAAGCGUGAGUGACGGUAAUGGGUAAAGAAGCACAGGCUAACUACGUG